rnacentral:rRNA from 1 species
UACAGAGGGUGCAAGCGUUGUUCGGAAUUAUUGGGCGUAAAGCGCGUGUAGGCGGCUUUGCAAGUCGGGUGUGAAAGCCCUCAGCUCAACUGAGGAAGUGCGCCCGAAACUGCAGAGCUUGAGUGCCGGAGAGGGUGGGCGGAAUUCCCCAAGUAGAGGUGAAAUUCGUAGAUAUCGGGAAGAACACCCGUGGCGAAGGCGGCUCUCUGGGACGGUACUGACGCUGAGACGCGAAAGCGUGGGGAGCGAACAGG